UGGCUCAGAACGAACGCUGGCGGCAGGCUUAACACAUGCAAGUCGAGCGCCCCGCAAGGGGAGCGGCAGACGGGUGAGUAACGCGUGGGAAUCUACCCUUUUCUACGGAAUAACGCAUGGAAACGUGUGCUAAUACCGUAUGAGCCCUUCGGGGGAAAGAUUUAUCGGGAAAGGAUGAGCCCGCGUUGGAUUAGCUAGUUGGUGGGGUAAAGGCCUACCAAGGCGACGAUCCAUAGCUGGUCUGAGAGGAUGAUCAGCCACAUUGGGACUGAGACACGGCCCAAACUCCUACGGGAGGCAGCAGUGGGGAAUAUUGGACAAUGGGCGCAAGCCUGAUCCAGCCAUGCCGCGUGAGUGAUGAAGGCCCUAGGGUUGUAAAGCUCUUUCACCGGUGAAGAUAAUGACGGUAACCGGAGAAGAAG
rnacentral:rRNA from 1 species